GUACAAAUUGGAUUAAUCGCACAAGAAAACCCCAUCACAAAUAACACACGAGGUAGCUGAGGCUGCAGACUUCAAACACUUAAAUCCCACAACAAACAAAGGGUAGGAAAUCAAGGAAUUGCUCUUCUUCUACAAGUACUUGACAAGUAGAUAAGCAACCAGAGCCAGAAUAAUAAUAGCAGCAACACAUAAGAGCAGGCACAUGCAUGAACAACCUCCUUUAGUCCGCUUACUGAGGAUAGCCAGUCUUUUUUGCACCCUCUGCAGUCCAGAGUUUGUUGACUCGACAUGGUCAUCUAAAUUAUCA
rnacentral:misc_RNA from 1 species